UACGAAGGGGGCUAGCGUUGCUCGGAAUCACUGGGCGUAAAGCGCACGUAGGCGGAUUUCUAAGUCAGGGGUGAAAUCCUGGAGCUCAACUCCAGAACUGCCUUUGAUACUGGGAAUCUUCGAGUCCGGGAGAGGUGAGUGGAACUGCGAGUGUAGAGGUGAAAUUCGUAGAUAUUCGCAAGAACACCAGUGGCGAAGGCGGCUCACUGGCCCGGUACUGACUCUGAGGUGCGAAAGCGUGGGGAGCAAACAGG
rnacentral:rRNA from 1 species